rnacentral:siRNA from 1 species
UUGGAGUAGAUUUGUGUAUCUC